AACUCAAAGGAGACUGCCAGUGAUAAACUGGAGGAAGGUGGGGAUGACGUCAAGUCAUCAUGGCCCUUACGACCAGGGCUACACACGUGCUACAAUGGCGCAUACAAAGAGAAGCGACCUCGCGAGAGCAAGCGGACCUCAUAAAGUGCGUCGUAGUCCGGAUUGGAGUCUGCAACUCGACUCCAUGAAGUCGGAAUCGCUAGUAAUCGUGGAUCAGAAUGCCACGGUGAAUACGUUCCCGGGCCUUGUACACACCGCCCGUCACACCAUGGGAGUGGGUUGCAAAAGAAGUAGGUAGCUUAACCUUCGGGAGGGCGCUUACCACUUUGUGAUUCAUGACUGGGGUGAAGUCGUAACAAGGUAACCGUAGGGGAACCUGCGGUUGGAUCACCUCCUUACGUGAAAGAAGC
rnacentral:rRNA from 1 species